CCUACGGGGGACAGCAGUGAGGAAUAUUGGUCAAUGGACGAGAGUCUGAACCAGCCAAGUAGCGUGAAGGAUGACUGCCCUAUGGGUUGUAAACUUCUUUUAUAUGGGAAUAAAACGUUCCACGUGUGGGAUUUUGUAUGUACCAUAUGAAUAAGGAUCGGCUAACUCCGUGCCAGCAGCCGCGGUAAUACGGAGGAUCCGAGCGUUAUCCGGAUUUAUUGGGUUUAAAGGGAGCGUAGGUGGAUUGUUAAGUCAGUUGUGAAAGUUUGCGGCUCAACCGUAAAAUUGCAGUUGAAACUGGCAGUCUUGAGUACAGUAGAGGUAGACGGAAUUCGUGGUGUAGCGGUGAAAUGCUUAGAUAUCACGAAGAACUCCGGUUGCGAAGGCAGUUCACUGGACUGCAACUGACACUGAGGCUCGAAAGUGUGGGUAUCAAACAGGAUUAGAUACCCUGGUAGUC
rnacentral:rRNA from 1 species